GCUGGGCGUGGUGAUGCAUGCCUGUAGUCCCAGCUACUUGGGAGGCUGAGACAGGAGGAUCCUUUGAAGCCAAGAGUCCUGGGCUGAAGUGUGCUAUGCUGAUCUGGUGUCUACACUGAAUUUACCAUCAAAUAUGGUGACCUCCUGGGAGCAGGUUGCCUAAGGAGAGGUAAAUUGUCCCAACUUGGAAACAGUGCAGGUCAGAACUGUGUUGAUCAGUGGUGGGAUCACGCCUGUGAAUAAUCACUGUACUCCAGCCUGGGCAACAUAGUGAAACCCCAGCUCA
rnacentral:SRP_RNA from 1 species